rnacentral:rRNA from 1 species
UUUCCCUCAGGAUAGCUGGCACUCGCGAACAAUUUUUGUGCGAGUCUCAUCUGGUAAAGCGAAUGAUUAGAGGCCUUGGGGCCGAAACGACCUCAACCUAUUCUCAAACUUUAAAUGGGUGAGAUCUCUGGCUUGCUUGAACGUUGAAGCCACGAGAUUGGAUCAGAGUGCCAAGUGGGCCAAUUUUGGUAAGCAGAACUGGCGCUGUGGGA